CGUUGGAUGCAAGUGUUGUUCGAGUAAAAUGCUUAAUUAAAUUCUACAUUUAUUUUUUUCUACAAAUAUUUUAUAAAUUCUAUUAUUGUAAACUGACAUAUAGUUACAACACGUACUUUUGUAUGCCAAUGUUGGCCAAGGAAUUCGUAUUUUUCUAAAAAUAUAGAAACCGACGAUUAAACUCUUCUCGAAUAGCGCAAUUGUAAGAAAUGAUGAAAAUACCAACGACAAAAGGUAAAAUUCUUGUCGCAAUUACAAAGUGUCGCUAUAAUAAUCGAAACAUCUGAUCGUGUCGCGAGUGAUGCAGUCGAAUAGUAACUUUUUGAAACGAGUCGGGAUACCAGAUAUUCGAAACUUUCUAACGUUCGGGCAUACUGGAGAAACAGUUACGCAAUUUCCUUCCGGCAAUAGGUUAUUUACUUUCGAUCGUCAUUGACCACGUCGUGCUCGAUCUAACGGGAUUUAAGAUUGAUAAGCUAUCGUCGUACCAUUUCCAGAGAAACAACAAAAACGCAAACGAAAAAUUAUCAUCGCAAUGCUCGAUUCUAAAACGAAUCUAAAACAGGCUGAAAGGAAGAAAGAAGACGCCACGUAGACAGAUGAAACGCACGAUCGUUAUUACCGUUGCAUCUGCCGCCACUGUGCCGGUGACUUCGACGACAUUAUCGAAAGGUCAACGUAGAACUGGUCGUCUCCGGCCACGAAUCACGAACACAUCCAACGCGAGGAUGCACUUUUAAAAGUCACUUGCAAUGCGCGAUGCAGGCUCACGGGUCACGUACAUAAACGUACGUGAUAAUUUUCGAGAGGUCACCAGUUUCAUAUACUUUACAUCAAUGAUUUACAAUUAUAGAAAAUUUUAAAAUAAAUAUAAAUAAAAAUGAUUUAUUUUAUUUAUGGUGGAUUGAAAGGAAUAUGAAAAAGUUCGUUGCGAUUUUUUCUUUAAUAAUAACUUCGAUACAAUACAUUUUCUUGUACGCACAAUUAGGGAAUAAUAAUAUUUUCUAUUUUUAUUCUCUCGUUAAAGGAAAAAAAUCGCUGAAGAAAGGAAAACAUUGUGAUAAUCGAAUCGAUUUGCCUACAGCGGUCGUGUGCCGUGACAGAGGUCGAGUGAAACGGGAAAUUCGCCGCGGAAUGUAGACCCUGUCAAGGAUUACCGGUGAAUAAAGACAUCUAUCAUUCACCGAUUCUUAAUUAAAUGCCAUCGAUUCGAUUGCCAGUAUUAUUACUCCUCGCAUAAUCCUCCGUGCACGUAUAUAAUCGUAAAACGUAAAACAAAAAGCAAUAACCUGUUUGCUCCUCGAAAGGAAGGAAGGGAGGGGAGGGAAAAAUUAAUUUCUUCGAUCAUCUCGUCUACCUUUCUCGAUUUCUCGCGUUCUCGCCUCAUCGCCUGAACGUCCUCCUCCUGUUAUCAGGCCGCCGGUGACACGGCACGGAUGGUCGUUUGCCGAGUGAAAUGCUUCUCGCGAAGGCCUCAAGGCCGACGGGAUACUUCUUGCCUCUCACUUUCGCGCGUACGCCUCUCUGGAGAGGGCCUCGUCGGACAGAGGUCCGCCUCUCUUCCUCUCCCUCGUUCAACAUAUCCUAUUCUUCCAUCCCAUUCCUUUGCGAACGAGGUGAAACGAACGAGGCAAAAAUCGCCAUUUUGAAGAUCGAUCGAGGGAGGGGGGGGGGGGAGAGGA